CGGGAUGAGUAGAGUGGCGCACGGGUGAGUAAUACAUGGGAACGUGCCUUUAGGUUUGGGAUAACUACGGGAAACUGUGGCUAAUACCGAAUAGUCUCGCAAGAGUAAAGAUGGCCUCUAUUUAUAAGCUAUCGCCAAGAGAUCGGCCCAUGUCCCAUUAGCUAGUUGGUAGGGUAAUGGCCUACCAAGGCGACGAUGGGUAACUGGUCUGAGAGGACGAUCAGUCACACUGGAACUGAGACACGGUCCAGACUCC
rnacentral:rRNA from 1 species